rnacentral:snoRNA from 1 species
ACGUGCUGCCUUUGAGCCCACAGUCGCACCUGCACGUGGUGCUGGGGGUUAAGCUGCAGCACCAUAGCACGUGCUUGCACAUAACUGGGGCUGCUUUAACUGCCAGCAACAAGA